UGCAAUAUGUGAUGCAAACAAUCCCAUUUGCCGACUCACCGGGAUUAUUAUAAACAAGAUCACCAUCUUUCGGUUGAGGUUUCA